UGAACGCUGGCGGCAGGCCUAACACAUACAAGUCGAGCGGAUGACAGGAGCUUGCUCCUGAAUUCAGCGGCGGACGGGUGAGUAAUGCCUAGGAAUCUGCCUGGUAGUGGGGGACAACGUUUCGAAAGGAACGCUAAUACCGCAUACGUCCUACGGGAGAAAGCAGGGGACCUUCGGGCCUUGCGCUAUCAGAUGAGCCUAGGUCGGAUUAGCUAGUUGGUGAGGUAAUGGCUCACCAAGGCGACGAUCCGUAACUGGUCUGAGAGGAUGAUCAGUCACACUGGAACUGAGACACGGUCCAGACUCCUACGGGAGGCAGCAGUGGGGAAUAUUGGACAAUGGGCGAAAGCCUGAUCCAGCCAUGCCGCGUGUGUGAAGAAGGCCUUCGGUUGUAAGCCUUUCGUUGGUAAGAAGUCCAGCCGGCUAAGUACCUGGUUGGGAGUGACGGUACCCGAAACGAAUAAAGCAACCGGCGUAACUUCGUGCCAGCAG
rnacentral:rRNA from 1 species